GACGAACGCUGGCGGCGUGCUUAACACAUGCAAGUCGAGCGGAAAGGCCCUUCGGGGUACUCGAGCGGCGAACGGGUGAGUAACACGUGAGUAACCUGCCCCAGACUUUGGGAUAACCCUCGGAAACGGGGCCAAUUCCGGGAAACGCCCAGACUACCCUGGGGGUCUUGGUGGAAAGUUUUCGGUUUGGGAUGGGCUCGCGGCCUAACAGCUUGUUGGUGGGGUGAUGGGCUACCAAGGCGACGACGGGUAGCCGGCCUGAGAGGGCGACCGGCCACACUGGGACUGAGACACGGCCCAGACUCCUACGGGAGGCAGCAGUGGGGAAUAUUGCACAAUGGGCGGAAGCCUGAUGCAGCGACGCCGCGUGAGGGAUGACGGCCUUCGGGUUGUAAACCUCUUUCAGCAGGGACGAAGCGUAAGUGACGGUACCUGCAGAAGAAGCGCCGGCCAACUACGUG
rnacentral:rRNA from 1 species